rnacentral:rRNA from 1 species
GACAAUUGUAGAACACACAGUGUUUAACAAGUAACCAAUGAGAAUUUCUGAUCUAUCAAUCAGUUGGUAGUAUCGAGGACUACCAAGAUUAUAACGGAUAACGAGGAAUUGGGGUUCGACAUCGGAGAGGGAGCUUUACAGAUGGCUACCACUUCUAAGGAAGGCAGCAGGCGCGUAAAUUACCCACUUUCGAAUUGAAGAGGUAGUGACGACACAUAACUCUAGAGUUGAGUAAAAUCAAUUCUUGAAGGAAUGAGUAGGAGGUAAAUUCUCCUACGAAAUCAAUUGGAGGGCAAGUCUGGUGCCAGCAGCCGCGGUAAUUCCAGCUCCAAUAGUGUAUAUUAAAGUUGCUGUGAUUAAAACGCUCGUAGUUGAAUUAAAAUGUGAUUUUAUACAUUUUGAAGACUUUACAUUAAGUGAAGUUUCUAGAAAUGUUAAAUUAAAAUCAAAGAAGGAGACAAUUCAAGUAAUUGAGUUGUCAUUACUUUGAAUAAAAUAAGGUGUUUAAAGCAAAACAUUAUGUUAAUGAAUAUUCAAGCAUGGGACAAUGCUGAGGAGAUGUCAAUUAGACAUUUCGAGAGAAGGAUUAAAAGGAACAAUUGGGGUGAUUCAGAAAAUAACGGGAGAGGUGAAAAUCCAUGAUCGCUAUAAGAUGCACGAGAGCGAAAGCAUUUCACUCAACUGGGUCCAUUAAUCAAGAACGAAAGUUAGGGGAUCGAAGACGAUCAGAUACCGUCGUAGUCCUAACUAUAAAC